GAAUUCGUUAAGGAGCUGUUGCU
rnacentral:siRNA from 1 species